rnacentral:rRNA from 1 species
CCUACGGGAUGCACCAGUGGGGAAUAUUGCACAAUGGGCGCAGGCCUGAUGCAGCCAUGCCGCGUGUAUGAAGAAGGCCUUCGGGUUGUAAAGUACUUUUAGCGGGGAGGAAGGUGUUGUGGUUAAUAACCACAGCAAUCGACGUUACCCGCAGAAGAAGCACCGGCUAACUCCGUGCCAGCAGCCGCGGUAAUACGGAGGGUGCAAGCGCUAAUCGGAAUUGCUGGGCGUAAAGCGCACGCAGGCGGUCUGUCAAGUCGGAUGUGAAAUCCCCGGCCUCAACCUGGGAACUGCAUUCGAAACUGGCAGGCUAGAGUCUUGUAGAGGGGGGUAGAAUUCCAGGUGUAGCGGUGAAAUGCGUAGAGAUCUGGAGGAAUACCGGUGGCGAAGGCGGCCCCCUGGACAAAGACUGACGCUCAGGUGCGAAAGCGUGGGGAGCAAACAGGAUUAGAUACCCGUGUAGUC